AGUGCAGUGUAGAACCCUUUUCUCAGGCAAAACCUAACAUCUGACCGCACCCUUUUUGCUAUUAAAAAAAAAAAAAAGCUUCUAUUUUUUUCCUCCUGUCGUUAAGAUAAAUUCUCCAGUAGACAACCUCUCCCACUAAUUGUGUAUUAGCAACGUAUUUUAUCUUGAGAGCUUGUACACUGGGCUCUCAACGUGGUGUGGAAGGUAGCCUGUUACAGUGCUGGAUUCAUAAAAGGGCCUUUAUGGUUUGUGAAAGAAUAUCUGUGUGCUUAGGGAGGAAACUUUUUGAUCUGCAGAAAAGCCAGAAGACAUCUAGGACAUCCAUAAAAAUUCAUCAGAGAGCAUUUUACUACUGAGCUGCAAAGGGAAAAACUUAAAAUGGAUAUGAAAAGUGAAGAAAGUGAUCAUAGGAGAAAACCAUUUCAGGUGUCUGAUGAUUUGUGAGCCUCAAGUGACUACUCUGUGGAAUCAUCUGUCCUUGCCUUUGAAUUAGCUUUCCCUAGGCCAUGAGUCAACAUUAGUAGUUUAUACAUCCAAAUUGAUGACAAGAGCACCUCAAAGGCAGCAGCCUCAAGGAGCAGCCAUGGCCCCAGACUUGUCGCACGGAUGCAGAAAACUUAAUGGAGGAGGCUGAGUCAAAUCAGGAGCUUUAGAAAAUACUGAUGCCUGGCUCUCAACCAGAGAGAACUGAACUGAAUUGGUCUGGUGAAUUCAUUAAAAGAGCUAACAACAAUGAAGUUAAUGUACGCAUCUCACCUCUCAAGAGUAUUAACAGGCCAGGCGUGUUGGCUCAUACCUGUAAUCCCAGCACUUUGGGAGGCCAAGGCGGGCGGAUCACCCAAGAAUGGGAUAACUGCCUGGCACUCACCAAGCUACACUUGAAGAGGAUCAAUCCAUGUCAUCAUGUCCCCAAUUUCAUAGCACCAAGUAUUUUGUUUAUUCACAAAUGCCCUAUUAUGGACAUCUAGCAAACAAUGAUACAUCAGAAAAGGAGAUGUGCAUAAAUUUUCAUGGAAUAAGGUUGUGGAAAAUGCACUAGAAUCAACAAACAUGGGGACUAAUUCAACUCGGAUAUCAUGUCUUCAGAGAAGUUUCUCCUGCCCUCCUCUCCCUGUAGAAUUAAGUAUUCUUCCACUGUGCCACCCUCUAACUUGUGCUCAUAUCUUCCUCUAUUGUAGUUAUGUGUUCACAUCCCUGUUGUUUUUGUACCGGCUUCUCCCAAAGGGAGACAUUUAGUCUUAUUCUUCUUGGUAACUUUAGCACAGACCUGGCAGAUUGUUGACACUCAACAAAUGUUUAUUGACUCAAAUGCAUUCAGUUGAACAUUGACCUUUGAUCAACUCUGGGAAAAGUCUGCAAAGCUAGUUAGGACAUUCAGAAAUUCAUUUCAUUUCAAUCCUAACUAAAUAAAUUAUUGAAGUC
rnacentral:lncRNA from 1 species